rnacentral:tRNA from 1 species
GGAGACGUGAGUGAGUGGCUGAAACCAGCGGUUUGCCAAACCAUCGUGCCCUGAAUGGGGCACGAUGGGUUCGAAUCCCGGCGUCUCCGCCA